GACGAACGCUGGCGGCGUGCUUAACACAUGCAAGUCGAACGCUGAAGCUUGGUGCUUGCACUGGGUGGAUGAGUGGCGAACGGGUGAGUAAUACGUGAGUAACCUGCCCUUGACUCUGGGAUAAGCCUGGGAAACUGGGUCUAAUACUGGAUACGACAUGUCACCGCAUGGUGGUGUGUGGAAAGGGUUUUACUGGUUUUGGAUGGGCUCACGGCCUAUCAGCUUGUUGGUGGGGUAAUGGCUCACCAAGGCGACGACGGGUAGCCGGCCUGAGCGGGUGACCGGCCACACUGGGACUGAGACACGGCCCAGACUCCUACGGGAGGCAGCAGUGGGGAAUAUUGCACAAGGGGCGGAAGCCUGAUGCAGCGACGCCGCGUGGGGGAUGACGGCCUUCGGGUUGUAAACUUCUUUCAGCACGGAAGAAGCGAAAGUGACGGUACGUGCAGAAGAAGCGCCGGCUAACUACGUG
rnacentral:rRNA from 1 species